AUUGAACGCUGGCGGCAGGCCUAACACAUGCAAGUCGAACGCGUGGCGGACGGGUGAGUAAUGUCUGGGAAACUGCCCGAUGGAGGGGGAUAACUACUGGCAACGGUAGCUAAUACCGCCUACCAUCGGAUGUGCCCAGAUGGGAUUAGCUAGGAGGUGGGGUAACGGCUCACAUAGGCGACGCUCCCUAGCUGGUCUGAGCGGAUGACCAGCCACACUGGAACUGAGACACGGUCCAUACUCCUACGGGAGGUAGCAGUGGGGAAUAUUGCACAAUGGGCGCAAGCCUGAUGCAGCCAGGCCGCGUGUAUGAAGAAGGCCUUCGGGUUGUAAAGUACUUUCAGCGGGGAGGCGUUACCCGCAGAAGAAGCACCGGCUAACUCCGUGCCAGCAGCCGCGGUAAUAC
rnacentral:rRNA from 1 species